AGCAACUAGAAUAACGAACAUAGCAAGAAAGAGGGCUUACUUAUGUAGAAAGGCUCCUGAGGUGGCUUUUGAUUUUGCAUCUGGCUUGCCUCCCAGAAUGCUUAAUGAUGCCAGAGCUCAAGUUGUUUCUGCUCUGAAUAGUUCCCUCUUUAGAACUGAAGGUCAGAAAGCUGUGUUUGAGGCCAAGGGAAUGGUGGAAUUAAACUUUGAUGGUUAAUGGCUAA
rnacentral:misc_RNA from 1 species